AGGUACUAUGCAGAGUAUCAUCUCGGGCAGCUCAAGGCAAAAAUAGAAAAACUGAGGACACAAUUAUUGGAGCCUCCAAAAAGUAUCAUCUUGGGCAGCUCAAGACAAAAAUAGCAAAACUAAGGACACAAUUAUUGGAGUCUCCAAAAGUACCAUGCACAGUAUCAUCUCAGGCAGCUCAAGACAAAAAUAGCAAAACUAAGGACAUAAUUAUUGGAGCCUCCAAAAGUAU